GAGCCACUAGUGUCCCUUAACCUAAUUCAAGUCGCGUGUCGAUCAACGCAUCAUCAGAUCUGGCAUAUAAAUGAUGAUUUCUCUAUUUACAAGUGGGGAUGGGAAGAAUAUCACUUCUUAAGCAUCGUCGCGUCGCGUAGGGAGGCUUACAUAGCAAAUAUCGGAGGCCCACGGCACGUGCAUGAAAAGGAAAAGUUUAAAAGAGUUGAAGCUUGAGAUAGAUAAGAUACAGAUCCAUCACAUCCCCAGGACUCUUCCAAGGAAAAAACAAAACACAUCGAGGAUCUGGUUCAUCUGGGCCUGGUGUUGAAGCCAAACAACAGUCGCGAUGAAGAUGGAUGUGGCAUUGCAGCUACUGAGCUAAAUAGAAUUAUAGGAUGAUUGUCAUUUCCAGCCACCCUUUUGAGUAGUAUUUGGUUUUCAUCUCUUGAGGAAGAAGAAUGCUGCUUUCCAUUA